rnacentral:tRNA from 1 species
GCGCCUGUAGCUCAAUGGAUAGAGCACUUGACUACGGAUCAAGAGGUUAGGGGUUCGAGUCCCUUCGGGCGCA